rnacentral:lncRNA from 1 species
GCUGGAGGAUCAGAGUUUCAAAGUGAAGAUGGAACAAAGUGUGAAGUCUUUUUUUGAGAUAAAUGAUAAGGAAGUGACACCUAUUAUUCUAUGGGAAGCGGCAAAAGCAACUAUAAGGGGUGCAAUAAUAGCAUACUCAUCUCAUCAAAAGAGGAAAAGGGAAAGAGAAAAAAAAUUUUUGGAAAAUGAAAUAAAAAGACUUCAGGAACAGCAUGAAAGAAACUUGAACAAAGAAACAUACAGACAACUGAAAACAGCGAAAAAAGCUUUAGACACUAUAGAAAUACAUGAAAUUGAAAAGGACCUUAUGCUGUGUAGGCAGACUUAUUACGAUAACAGUCCAAAAGCAUUGAAAAUAUUAGCAACCAAAUUAAAGAAACAAAAAGAAAAAAGUGCAAUAGUAACUAUUUAGGAUGGAAAUGACGAGCCCCAGAGAGGUAAAUCAAAUAUAGCAGCAUGUUUCAGAGACUAUUAUCAAACCCUUUAUACUCCAGAACAAGCAGAUGUGAGCAUGCAAAAUAUUAAAGAGUAUCUAACACCUCUAAACCUUCCUGUAGUAACAGAUACACAAAAUAAAGAUUUAGUUAAACCAAUAACAGAAGCCGAAAUUACAAAGGUUAUACAGAAAAGCAAAACUGGGAAAAGCCCUGGAAGUGAUGGCUUUACAAAUGAAUUUUUUAAGUGUUUUAGAGUUUUGUUAUUACCUAUCCUUGGCAGGGUCUUUAAUUACAUUUUAGAAACAGGAGUGUGGCCAGACACCUGGAAUUCUGCAAUUAUUACUGUAAUACCAAAAGAAGGAAAAGAUUUGACAAAUUGCUCAUCCUACAGACCGAUAUCUCUUUUAAAUGUUGAUCAAAAGAUAUUCACAUCAAUCAUAGCCAAUAGACUCUCACACAUACUCCCAGAUAUAAUUAAUUCAGAUCAAACUGGAUUUGUCAAGGACCGUCUUUUAAGUGAUAAUUUGAGGCGUACUCUCAAUAUUAUAGACCAAACAGUGAUGACGAAACAACAGAUGCUGACAUUAAGCUUAGAUGCCGAAAAGGCUUUUGAUAGAGUCUCUUGGACGUUUUUACUAGGAGUAUGUGAGAAGUUUGGCUUUCAUAAAACAUUUAUUACACUGAUUGAAGGAAUGUAUAAAGAACCAAAUGCAAGAGUAAGAGUUAAUGGGAUGCUAUCUAAGACCAUCAAUUUGAAACGAGGAAUAAAACAAGGAGAUCCCAUAUCACCCCAAAUUUUUAAUUUAUGUAUUGAACCUUUAGCAGAACAAAUUAGGAUAAAUAAUGAAAUAAAGGGAGUUAAUGUAAAGGGAGAAGAACAUAAACUAGCAAUGUAUGCAGAUGAUAUCAUUGUAUACCUCACAGAAAUCCGCCAAUCUCUGCCUAGUUUAUUAAAGGAAAUAACAAACUAUAGUAUUAUGUCUGGCUACAAGCUAAAUUUAAAUAAAACAGAAGCGAUGUUAGUGGGGGGCCAUCUGGAAAAUGAAUUUAAAAAACAGUUUAAUAUAAAAUGGGAUCAGAAUAAAGUGAAAUAUUUAGGAGUAAUCAUACCUAACAAUUUUGACGAAUUAUAUAACUGCAACUAUGUGCCCUUGGAAAAUGCUGUGAAACAAGAUCUCAGUAGAUGGAAAAUAACACCCCUGACUCUCCUAGAAAGAAUUAAGAUUAUAAAAAUGUAUGUUCUGCCACGCUUCUUAUUUUUAUUCCAAAACCUGCCUUUGUAUAUAUCACCGACACGCUUCCAUACCUGGGAGGGAAUGCUGAGAAAAUUUAUAUGGGACGCUAAGAAGCCAAGAGUUAAAUUAAAAUUAUUGCAACAGAACAAAGACAGAGGUGGGUUGGCCUUACCUAAUCUGUGUCAUUAUUACUAUGCAGCACAGAUUAAACCUAUACUGAUAUGGAUGAACAAUAAGAGAAACCCUAAAUGGAAGCGUAUGGAAUUGAGUCUGGUCGAGUCACUCAGCACAUUGAUCUUUACACCUUAUGAUAAAGCACAGAUGAAAACACUCAACUACUCUAUACGUAAUACUUUUAGGAGUUGGAAAACCAUCUGUAAAAUGUGUAAAAUCAAGGAACAAGAAGCUACCUGUAUGAGAGAAAUGUCAUGCGACUCAGAUUUCACUCCAAAUAGAAUAGAUCAGGUUUUUAAGAUAUGGGAAGGGAAAGGUCUUCAGAGAUUCUUUCAAAUGUAUAUGACCAAGGAAUGGUCUCUUUUGAAGAUAUAGUAGAACAAUACAGUCUUCCUAGAAAUCAUUUUUUUAGAUAUCUGCAAGUGAGAAGCUACCUAAAAGAUAAACUUAAAAUUAGAACUCUUGGAAACCUUCACCCUAUCCUGAGAUACGUAACAAAAUCUCAUCAAAGACAUGAUUACAAAAACACAAUUGGACAACUUUAUCAAAUAUUUCAGGAAAACUUUGUUGAAGAUCUAGAUAAUAUUAAGGAAAAAUGGGAUAAAGAGCUGAGAAUUACUAUAGAAAGAAAUGAGUGGAAUCAGAGUUUCAUGGACAUUUUCAAACACAUAAGAUCUCCCUUCUGGCAGGAAUAUGCCUGGAAGAUGAAUAUACAGUACUUCCAAACACCACUGUCCGUAUCAAAGUACACAUUAAACUCUAAUUGUUGGAGGGAAUGUGGGGAGAAUAAGGCUGACCAUACCCAUAUAUUUUUUACAUGUUCCAAAGUACAAAGCUUCUGGCUGAAGGUCUCACACACUAUAGAACAAAUAUUUGGAAGAGAUAUUCAAUUAGAAAAUCACAAUAUAAUUCUAGGAACACGUCCCAAACGAUUGAGGAGCCAAGAUCUUUAUCUCUUCUGUAUACUGAGAAUGACUGCACUCAAACAAAUUACAAGAGGUUGGAAAAGUGUGGACCACCCAAGGGUGGAUAGGUGGCUGGAAACAAUGGAAAAUAUGUGUUUAAUGGAAAAGGUGACAUAUAAAAUUAAUGGCAAGGAAACUUUGUUUGAGAAAAGAUGGGUCUCUUAUCUUUCAAAUAAGGAUAACCUGUAUGCCUAAAAACUGAAUUUUCAUUGCUGAAACAAACACAACAAAGCCUUUUUUUUUUUUUUUCUAUUUUAUUUAUUAACAUGUUUUUGUGUAGAAAUGUCAUGUUUUACGUCUCUGUUUGAGUUUAUUUCUGUGUGAGAAAAAAAAAAAAAAAGGGUCAAAAUGUCUGUAAAAAAGUGAUAUAAAUGAUGAAAAAGAAACAUUGAUGAAAUGGCAAUUGAUUUGUAUUGCUAUAUGUUACGGACCUAAUAAAGUAUA